AAUGUGUCAAUGGUGUUCAGCACCAAGGACAGGUAUGUUCAACCAGUGUGUGGAUGGUGUUCAGAACCAGGGACAUGUAUGUUUACCU
rnacentral:pre_miRNA from 1 species